GUGCCUGGUUCAUGUUCUGCGGUUCCUCCAGCACCAUGAUGUCAACAAUCUUGUCUUCGAAAGUUGCCUCGUCUUUAACAGUCUCAGUCAUGUUGCAGUCUGCAUACUCUGUGUCCGGAUCGCUUCUGGUUUUCUGAGAAGAUACACCAAGUACUCUCCUGCCUGCCUCUCUGAUCACCUUGGCUGCAGUGGUCCAGUCUUCUGGAAGCUCCUCCUGUUCACCGAGAGCCUGUCUCACCUCUUCACGACAAGCCGCACAACACUCGUCCUGUCUCAGCUUCCAACACAUGGUUCUCUGCUCUGCCUUUGUCUUCCUAAUCUUCCUCCCCAACUAACUUUUGUUACCAGGGUUGAAAACAUUGGCAAAGGUGAAUUAAUCCAUAGACACAGAUACUUUUGAUGAUGGAACAUCAAAAUCUCAUAUACUGUUACUUUGAUUCAGGCUGAAAUUGUGUCCACCACGACAACGUUGAUGUCAUAGAAACAUAAAAUGACAAGUAAUGAAGCAAUAAUUUAUUAAUGAUGAUGAUGAUGAUGAUGAUGAUGACUGUCACAUGGAAAUGUUCUUGACAAAAUUUUGAAAAUAUGGAGAUUCAGACAAAUUAUUCUGGAAGUUAAUUUUUAUAGGUUGGCAGCUCUGCAGUAUGGUGAUGGGGCAAAAUAUCGAGACAGCAGUGCCGUGCAUCUGCUGCUAUCUAUUCUGUUAAGUUUGUUAUGACCUAAGUCCAUACAUUGUACAGUACAUUUAAUAAACAUUUGUAUACAUACA